rnacentral:rRNA from 1 species
UACGUAGGGUGCAAGCGUUGUCCGGAAUUAUUGGGCGUAAAGAGCUCGUAGGCGGUUUGUUGCGUCGGCUGUGAAAUCCCGAGGCUCAACCUCGGGUCUGCAGUCGAUACGGGCGGACUGGAGUUCGGCAGGGGAGACUGGAAUUCCUGGUGUAGCGGUGAAAUGCGCAGAUAUCAGGAGGAACACCGGUGGCGAAGGCGGGUCUCUGGGCCGAUACUGACGCUGAGGAGUGAAAGCGUGGGGAGCGAACAGG